CUUCCAUGGUACAAUAUCUUGUUAUUCUUGCCUUUCAGGAUCUUUUAUCUCAGAGCUGGUGAAGAGAGCAAAAAAAGGGCGGGGAAAGGAAGUGGAGUGAUCGGCUAAAGAGAGCAAGAAAAUCCAAGUGAAACUUUGGCCGUUCAGGUACCCCAAAUUCUUCUGGAAUUUGCUCAAGCAAGGCAUCAUGGUGUGCAGUCACCCUUUGAAGGAGCAUUUGAUGCACAGGGCCUCUCUGGGCCACCAUGGUUUGAUGUGGUGAAGACAGAUGACCCCCCACACACCCCAAUGCAGAAGGGAGAAUAUCAUUGCCCAAGUCCUUCCAUCUAAAAACUCCUCCCGCCAAGAUCUCCGGGGACCGAGAGAACAAUCUGAGCCGAGAGGAACUCACUCGGAUGCAAUUGCAAGUUUGGUGCCUUCAUUACCGGAUUUUAAGAUCAGAGGAAAACAUUGAUCCCAGAACCUUGCAAUGCCUGGAGAUUUUCUAGAAGAAGGAGGCACAAAAGGCUCUUGCAUNCUAUUUUAAAAAGGAGAAGGAGGGUAGAAGAAGAACAGCCCAAGUUUCUAUUUAUGAAACGUUCAUCUCUUUUUGCUGCCUUGCAAUGCUGGGUCAAAACUGCCCACCCUAGGAACGCGGCUGCUCUCCCCACCUCUGAAAACUGUCAUUCGGGUUGCCACACCACCUAUGAUUUGAACUCCCUGCCAAAUGCCUUCGGUGUGCUGGGCAACCAUCUACAGGUGAGAGAUCCUGCAGAGAAAAGGCUGUCAUAAAACCCUGGCGUCCUUACACUGCUCUAACUGGGCCCAAUUACAGAAAACUACAGUAUUUACAAAACAGGAGUCACCAGCCUGUAGAAAUUUACAGCCAAGAGGGCGCAAAAGAUGAUUUAAUUUCUUGACAUCUUCUGGGACUGGUUGUCGUCCGUCACUCAUAUGGAUGGCUCUUAUUGUUUGCGCAGUGACAGGCAGAGGGGCAAACAAGAUUGGUUUAUCUGUCCAUACAGCGUUGUAUUCCAUUGCCAUUGAAGUUUCCAUGUUAGAACGUGGUGGUUUCACAGC
rnacentral:lncRNA from 1 species